GCAAGAGGCAAACAGAAGGUCAGAUGUGCCUGUGUUUCUUCCUGCUGCUGGAAGAGAGCACAUAAUGUGGUGACAGCACAAAACCCAGCUACAGACAAGGAUAGCUUACUGCUUGUGCUGCCUGGAGGAAGGAGGGCCUGCUCUGGAAAGACGAACCCAAGAGGAAGUCUGAAGAGAUGCAACAUGAGAAGGGAUCAAGACAUUUGUUUAAAUGAGGCUCAACAAGGCUCCAGGCAGCAACAACGACACCAGGACUUUUUCCAGCAUCAGACUAUAAAUCAGUACCUAGCAGGUUAUGGGCUAAAAAUAUGUCUCAAAGGGAAGCUAUCAACACAGAACCAGGAGAUCUCCAAGAGAAAGGCAAUAUCUGGCAUAAAGCAGAGGCCUGUAACAGUGGCCAAAAGAUGCAGCGUGAUUAAACUCCAGCAUGUGGAUGUGACUAAGGUAGCAUUAAAAUAUUCCUCAAGGAAAGGAGAGAAAAGGGAUGAUUUCUCCCACAGAAGAACAUGCAAAAGUUCCUCAAACCGCAACAAAUCUUUGGAUGUCAACUAGUUUUCCUCUUCUGAUGGUGUGAUGAGCUGUGUUGCAGUCCAUAAGUACCUCAAGAUGAAGUCUCACAGACACGUGCCUCUGGGCAACACAGCAAGAUCAACCUUUAAAUAUGGACAUCUAAAAUGAAGGCUAUUACAUAUCCUCCCUUGAGGCCCAAUGAAGGGGAAAUACUGCUGACAACAGAUUAGUGACUUGCAAUAGCAGUCAAGUAACUCUGAGUUCCAUCAUGUUUGUUCCAACUUUUUCUAGGUGCAGACUCUUAACAGGCCAGCCAAAGAAGCAAGGAAAAUACAGAUUCUGAUAACUAACAGGUAAAGACAGGUCCUUACACUUCCAGCUAUGUCAAGUGCAACUUUCAGGUAGCUUAAGGCACAGAUGCAACUUGCCAUCAUCCAUUCUGACAACACUGGCAAGGGUUUCAAGUUGAUUUUUUCAUCAUCACCGAAAAAAAUAUUCAAUUAUUUUCCCCAAGUUUUUUACCAGAACUGGGGUCCAUUUACCAGAUUUCUGUGCCUAAAGUUUAGCUCACCUACCUGAGACCAAUAUUAUCCCUGGUAUUGGCAUCACAUGGUAUAAAAAAAGAUAUUAAGCUAUGCAAUUUCCAACAAAAUUGCUCACUUCUGUUUGUGUCAGUUAUGAAAGCAGGAAGAAGCACGUAACAGCUAAAGAACAGGGAGGCCUUGGUGGGGGCGAGGGAGAGAUGUUUGCUUGUUUAGACUUGUCCAAAGCUACUUGUGAAUUUUGAUGACUCAAGGCUUAACCGCCUAGGUUCAACUGCCUCUGAAAGGUCUGUUCACUUUUUGCAUAUAUUUUGUCCUCCUAGAAAGCAGUCACUAAAGACAGCUUCACUAAGCUUCCACCAUAUUCCAGCUGAAUAUGGUUUAGUGCAUAACUCCAAGGUGGAGGUAAGCUAAGGAGGAAAGGCAAGAAAGAGAAGGCACAAACUGAGGGAAGAAAAAAGCCCCUGUGUUUUCCCUCUCAUCUCCUGAGCCAACUGUUUUGGAAAGAAACAUGAAAAUAGUGAGCUGUGAAAACCUGUAGAGGAGAGUGGGAAAAACGGUCCAGAAAACAUAAUUUCAGUAAGAUGUGGCAUAGUUAACAACAGCAACAGAGGUGAAGGGGAGCAAAUACUUUAAUUUUUUAAAAGCAUGGUGAAAGUCCAUACCCAGGAAGCACAAAGAGAGAUUUACAACUACAGCUCAUCUGAGGAAAUCAGAGAACUCAACUAUAUUUGUACAGGAGUUACUACAUUGUAAAUAGUCUAUCCUGUAGGAUUAGCAUAUUUAUAUGUGAAUGUAUUUGAAUUCCAAACCUUCAAAUUUGACUAAUGUUUUUUUCUAAGGAAUAAGAAAUUGUUGCUCAUCA